rfam:Ovis aries breed Texel chromosome 15, whole genome shotgun sequence.
UCCCUGAUGGUCUAGUGGCUAGGAUUCCAGCACUUCCAAUUCAGGGGGCCCAGGUUUGAUUCCUGGUCAGGGAA